rnacentral:rRNA from 1 species
GACGAACGCUGGCGGCGUGCUUAACACAUGCAAGUCGAACGGAAAGGCCUCUUUCGGGGGGUACUCGAGUGGCGAACGGGUGAGUAACACGUGAGUAACCUGCCCUUGACUUUGGGAUAACUUCAGGAAACUGGGGCUAAUACCGGAUAGGAGCUCCUGCUGCAUGGUGGGGGUUGGAAAGUUUCGGCGGUUGGGGAUGGACUCGCGGCUUAUCAGCUUGUUGGUGGGGUAGUGGCUUACCAAGGCUUUGACGGGUAGCCGGCCUGAGAGGGUGACCGGGCACAAUGGGACUGAGAUACGGCCCAGACGCCUACGGGAGGCAGCAGAGGGGAAUAUUGCACAAUGGGUGGGAGCCUGAUGCAGCAACGCCGUGUGCGUGAUGACGGCCUGCGGGUUGUAAACCGCUUUCGCUCAUGACGGAGCUUUGUGUGACGGUAGUGGGUAAAGAAGCACCGGCUAACUACGUG